rnacentral:misc_RNA from 1 species
CCGAGUUUACAACUCCCAAACCCAAUGUGAACCGUACCAAAACCGUUGCCUCGGCGGGGUCACGCCCCGGGCGCGUCGCAGCCCCGGAACCAGGCGCCCGCCGGAGGGACCAACCAAACUCUCCAUGUAGUCCCCUCGCGGACGCCAUUUCUCUCAGCUCUGAGCAAAGAAUUCAAAUGAAUCA